GGACGGGUGAGUAAUGCCUAGGAAUCUGCCUGGUAGUGGGGGACAACGUCUCGAAAGGGACGCUAAUACCGCAUACGUCCUACGGGAGAAAGCAGGGGACCUUCGGGCCUUGCGCUAUCAGAUGAGCCUAGGUCGGAUUAGCUAGUUGGUGAGGUAAAGGCUCACCAAGGCGACGAUCCGUAACUGGUCUGAGAGGAUGAUCAGUCACACUGGAACUGAGACACGGUCCAGACUCCUACGGGAGGCAGCAGUGGGGAAUAUUGGACAAUGGGCGAAAGCCUGAUCCAGCCAUGCCGCGUGUGUGAAGAAGGUCUUCGGAUUGUAAAGCACUUUAAGUUGGGAGGAAGGGUUGUACGCUAAUACCGUGCAAUUUUGACGUUACCGACAGAAUAAGCACCGGCUAACUCUGUGCCAGCAGCCGCGGUAAUACAGAGGGUGCAAGCGUUAAUCGGAAUUACUGGGCGUAAAGCGCGCGUAGGUGGUUCGUUAAGUUGGAUGUGAAAUCCCCGGGCUCAACCUGGGAACUGCAUCCAAAACUGGCGAGCUAGAGUAUGGUAGAGGGUGGUGGAAUUUCCUGUGUAGCGGUGAAAUGCGUAGAUAUAGGAAGGAACACCAGUGGCGAAGGCGACCACCUGGACUGAUACUGA
rnacentral:rRNA from 1 species